CUGUUUCAGCAGCAUAUACUUUAAUAUGGGACCAAUAGAGAGCAGAUAAGCAUAAGCGUGGCUGCUGCCUAAGGAUGGCAUACAGAUUUCAUAAAGCAUUCCAUAUUUUG
rnacentral:snRNA from 1 species